GGAGGGGUGCCCGAGUCUGGCUGAAGGGGCACGACUGGAAAUCGUGUGUACCCCCACAAAGGGUACCGCGGGUUCGAAUCCCGCCCCCUCCGCCA
rnacentral:tRNA from 1 species